rnacentral:RNase_P_RNA from 1 species
ACCGCAGGCCAUCUUAUCGCUCUUCGCCUUUGGCGGGGAGAGGAAAGUCCGGACACCAUAGAGCAGCAUAGCGGGUAACACCCGUCCUCCGUUUCGACGGAGCGGACUAGUGCAACAGAAAGCAAGUACAGUUCGGCUGUAGUGAAAUCAGGUAAACUCUAUGCGGUGCAACGCCAAGUAGUUCUACAAUUUUAGAGCGGCUCGUUCUAUGUAGAAGGGUAGGCGGCUAGAAUGCAGCAGUAAUGUUGCAUCCAGAUAAAUGAUAAGACACGACAGAAUCCGGCUUAUCGGCCUGCUUUUUUU